rnacentral:rRNA from 1 species
CAGGAUUAGAUACCCUGGUAGUCCAUGCCGUAAACGAUGUCUACUAGCCGUUGGGGCCUUUGAGGCUUUAGUGGCGCAGCUAACGCGAUAAGUAGACCGCCUGGGGAGUACGGUCGCAAGACUAAAACUCAAAUGAAUUGACGGGGGCCCGCACAAGCGGUGGAGCAUGUGGUUUAAUUCGAUGCAACGCGAAGAACCUUACCUGGUCUUGACAUAGUAAGAACUUUCCAGAGAUGGAUUGGUGCCUUCGGGAGCUUACAUACAGGUGCUGCAUGGCUGUCGUCAGCUCGUGUCGUGAGAUGUUGGGUUAAGUCCCGCAACGAGCGCAACCCUUUUCCUUAUUUGCCAGCACUUCGGGUGGGAACUUUAAGGAUACUGCCAGUGACAAACUGGAGGAAGGCGGGGACGACGUCAAGUCAUCAUGGCCCUUACGACCAGGGCUACACACGUGCUACAAUGGUCGGUACAAAGGGUUGCUACCUCGCGAGAGGAUGCUAAUCUCAAAAAGCCGAUCGUAGUCCGGAUCGCAGUCUGCAACUCGGAUGCGUGAAGUCGGAAUCCCUAGUAAUC